AUAUUUGGCUCAAUGAAACCGUCGUUUCCUACACUUUCCUAAAAUAACCGUAUCUCCGAAAUAAUAUAAAUAGCGUUUCGGCUUUGAACGGAAACCCGUGGUCACCGAGAGUGUAAAAUAUAUUUAUUUAUAGAUUCUAGUAUCUUAUUAUUUCCGACAAAAUGAUUGGUCGGCAUUGGGCUUCCGCCCCUAUCGACAUUAGUUUGAACAUAAACAAAACAUGGUUGUUUACGUUUCAUUGAUGAUAUAGUUUUAGAUGCUCUACCUGUCGACUUAUUAUUCAACUUCUAAAUCUAGAUCUAGCAUGAAAACUAAAAAGAAUAGACCUUAGUCUAGAUUCGUCAUUCUAGAUCUAGACAUUAUAAGACUAUUAGCCGGCAGGCUAGGCUGAGAUGAGGCCCUAUCAGGCCUAUCGACACCGCUAUUAUUGAUAAUUUCAAAUUUGAUUAUUCAUUCAUAUUCCCAUCAACUAGAUCUAGAUCAAAACAAAAACAUCCUUACCACAUGAUAACUGGUGCCUCUCAAUCAAGUAGGCCUAAAGCCUAUCAAAGCUUGCAAUACACAUGUGAUCUAGAUCUAGCUGGAUUAUCAACAGUUUCACUACUACAAGAUCUAAUCUAGAUCUAGACUUAGAGUGACUUAGACCUAGACUAGAUAAUAACUAAUACUAAUUUUCUUCUCUACAAGUUCUAGUCUAGUUACCACUUCGACAUUCACUUUGGAAACAAGACUCAACUACCCAGGUUCUUCGGCAUUGAUGCAAUCAACUGAAAUUUUAUGGAAAAGAUCAGGGCAGAAGUUUACACAGAGAUAAACAACCUUGUCUGAUGGAAACACCAGGUUGUUUUUGAGAGUUUUAUUAACAGAUCUGAGCCCAGGUAUUGUCGUAAAACAGAACAAUUCGUCGGCCUUACAGGUUUCGAACUACUUGGUUCUCUCCGCAGCCAUGUUUUAUUCUGAAAUUCCUUAAAUAAGCCAACAUGUGAGAUAAAUGGUUGAAGCAAUGAAAAGAGGGAAAGGAUGGACCCCUGAUGGGUAUGACUUUGUGGACAGCACACAUUUUAUUGAUGCAAACUUUGAUGAUAUAAUGAAAAAUCUGAAACCCUCAGCUAUUCCUACAAUAUUUCAGUGUCAUAACGAUGCAGCUUCCUGGCCAGUUAAAAAGAAGGAAAAAUAAAGUCUUAAGGUGAAAGAAGAAAUUGUACAAUUCAAAGAGACUUCUGAUAUAUUAUAAAAAGAAAGUUCAAUGUUUAUGAGAGGAGUUAUAGAAAAGCCAACCUCACCUAAAACAGUUAUGUUGGUAAAUGUAAAAUUUACUCGAUAGAUUUAUCUUUACAUCUGUUUGAGGAGCCUACAGGAAAUGCAAAUUAUACAGAUGAAAAAAUAUCCUUCACAAUAACAUUGCACUUUUACAGUCCUAAUGCAUAUGAGUUUCUUUCUACCACGUUUAACCUGCCUUCAACCAGAACACUAAGAAGAUCCUCUUAGAGACCACUGGGACAUUGUUCUGGGCUGCCUUUGGUAUGGGGAACUCUCAGGCACCAGCUAUUAAAGAAGAAACAAAUAGCAGUCAGGUUAAUGGUGACUCAGAGAUAAAAGACAGUGUGCUGCUGAAAGUCAUUGAGGUGAUAGGCUACGUUUUGUAUGGAGUUUACAUUCUUGAUGCUGUCGUGGUCCUGAUCAACUUGUUCAUUGCUAUGAUGAAUUUGAAGACAUUUAGAAUGUCCAAAAGAUUAGUCAGCUAAGGAGCCUAAAAUGUUAGCCUGUUUACAAAUAUGAGAUCUUCCUUGACUACACAAGUACCUUACAAAAGAAGGCUACUCACUUGUGUUUGGAUAUGUCAGCUGUUUUGUCCCUGUGGCCCUUUUCAAGCAUGACAGAUACUAUUCUAAGCAGCUUUUUUCUCUGGAAAUUAUUCAACCACAGAAGCUGUGAGGGAUAUCUGAAAUCCAUUGCUUACUUGUCUAGAAAGACUUCCAUCGAUUGAGUGAUAAAAGAUUAAGUGUACACAUCUUUUAGUAGUCACCACAUAACACUUAACAUUUUGAUGCUCAAGACAAUACUGUUCAUGAAUGGUUUAUUUUUCUUUAUGCUAAGAGUGUCCAAGAAAGAUAAGGUCAAAGGUUAAUUGGACAAACAAUAAACUUUGUCUUUGAAUCUAAAAUUGUAGAACUUGUAAAGAAAAAAACAACAACUAAGUGUUGUUGUUUUUUUAAUUUACCAGGUACCAGGUACCUACUAUUCAUUUACUUUGACUGUUGACUUUAAGUUAGAAAUUAAGGAAAGAUUUCUUUGAGCUAUAUUUGUCAAUGACCAUAGGCAUUAAGAGAGUUGACACCUCAUUUUACUUUUCAACAAGAUGAUGUCUUAAAAAAAUUAAGAGCUUUUGAUGGAAUUCUGUGGUUUAAUAACAUCAGUAAAGUUAAUCACAGGAUUCCAUCAAAAUCAUUGCAAUUUGAACAUUGUUGGUAGUGUCAAUGUUAUUAAGUUUUUUAGUUCUUGGGGUUACUACUACAUUACUAAUGUUCUAGUGACCAGGCAGUGUUUUAUACUAUGAAUGAAUAUCUGUUGUAAGAGGUUUAAGGUAUACAACUCAAUUAGUAAUAUCUUUGACAAUAAAAUAUUUUGAUCAAGUUUAUAUUUUUGGAACAGAAUAUGCUAAUGUGUUAAAUGUACAUAUUUCUUUUUUUUUUUUUUGGAAUAACAACUGAUAUUUAGUUUUAUCCCUUUGUAUCUUUCUACAGUAGAUGCACUGUCAUACUAAAUAGAAAUUUUUAAAAAUUAUAAUAACUGCUAAUCAAAUUGUCUCCCUUUUAAAAUCAAAUAUCUAAAUGAAUCAUGCUACUUUGAUUCUACACAAUCUACAGGACUACCAAUGUACAUUAGUUUUGAACAAAAAGUUGCUAAUUUUAAAUAAU